rnacentral:rRNA from 1 species
GAUGAACGCUGGCGGCGUGCCUAAUACAUGCAAGUCGAGCGAACAGACGAGGAGCUUGCUCCUCUGACGUUAGCGGCGGACGGGUGAGCAACACGUGGAUAACCUACCUAUAAGACUGGGAUAACUUCGGGAAACCGGAGCUAAUACCGGAUAAUAUAUUGAACCGCAUGGUUCAAUAGUGAAAGACGGUUUUGCUGUCACUUAUAGAUGGAUCCGCGCCGCAUUAGCUAGUUGGUAAGGUAACGGCUUACCAAGGCAACGAUGCGUAGCCGACCUGAGAGGGUGAUCGGCCACACUGGAACUGAGACACGGUCCAGACUCCUACGGGAGGCAGCAGUAAGGAAUCUUCCGCAAUGGGCGAAAGCCUGACGGAGCAACGCCGCGUGAGUGAUGAAGGUCUUCGGAUCGUAAAACUCUGUUAUUAGGGAAGAACAAAUGUGUAAGUAACUAUGCACGUCUUGACGGUACCUAAUCAGAAAGCCACGGCUAACUACGUG